rnacentral:lncRNA from 1 species
AUGCUGCCUCUAUUGGUUUUUAAUUUUUCUUUCCAUUUAAAGCUUUGUUUUCUAGGAACAAGCAACACUUGGGUCUCCCGGAUUCCAAAGACUGGCUCGUGUCUCCAUUGUGAAGACCUCAGAGCCCUUUGUUGGAAACUCAUCAUAGAGGAUAGUGCUUCUCAGACUUUCGUGUGCAAACUUGCAAGCAUGCCCAUAUCUUCUCCAGGAAAGGAAACCUUCCUUGCAAACAAUUCCCUAACCCACCCAGGUAUUAUUGGACCCCCUCAUUCUCCUCUGGGUUUGGGAUUGGGUGGGGUUCAGUGUCCAGGGGCAGGAGAGCUGGUAGACACAUGGUGUAGCGAGAAACCCGUGGCUAGAGGAAGGAUUUUGGUCUUGCAGGCCUGACUUUUCCAUUUCAAGUUGGAUUUGCAUGUGGACAUUAGGUACAGUUAAUAAGGGCUAGUCAGCUAUUACCUCCCUUGAGUUUCAUCUUUAGUCUUCCUACGAACGGAAUAAACUUCCUUCUGCUGAGUUGAAGGGGGUUGCU